UACGUAGGGUGCGAGCGUUAAUCGGAAUUACUGGGCGUAAAGCGUGCGCAGGCGGUUUUUUAAGACAGAUGUGAAAUCCCCGGGCUCAACCCGGGACCUGCAUUUGUGACUGUAAAGCUAGAGUACGGGAGAGGGGGAUGGAAUUCCCCGUGUAGCAGUGAAAUGCGUAGAUAUGCGGAGGAACACCGAUGGCGAAGGCAAUCCCCUGGACCUGUACUGACGCUCAUGCACGAAAGCGUGGGGAGCAAACAGGAUUAGAUCCCCUGGUAGUCCACGCCCUAAACGAUGUCAACUGGUUGUUGGGUCUUCACUGACUCAGUAACGAAGCUAACGCGUGAAGUUGACCGCCUGGGGAGUACGGCCGCAAGGUUG
rnacentral:rRNA from 1 species